rnacentral:tRNA from 1 species
GGCCCGCUAGCUCAACGGUAGAGCAACUCCCUCUUAAGGAGUAGGUUUAGGGUUCAAAUCCCUGGCGGGUCA